GCAUCCUUCUUGUCCGCGGCCUCCGGAAGUGCUCAUGGCGCGUCGCUGGCGAUGUUUGACGUGGCUGCUGCAAUGAAUACACAUGAGUGGCCAAACCCUUGAGCUUAUUUCCUCCCUCAUACACCUGGCAACCCUCCACAGGGGGUCGUUUGUGGUUAUUCAGCCGUGUAGGUGGCUGUUCGUCGAGCCAUGACGAAGUUGCUGUGUUAGUAUCGAUGAGGGCUGCCAGCCCUCGCUGCUCAGAAAGAGGAUUGACCCACCAAGAUCUGCCAACGACAGAAUCGAUCAUGCAUCAGCAAGUUCUGCUGCUUGUCCCUCCUGUACUCUGUUUGAGAGCCAGAAAAAAUUCCUGGCGAGGCUCUUCUAAACAUCGGCAGGUCUUCGGCAAGCCUCGGCCCGUUCCGGAAGAUUCCGGAGCGAAGAUUGUAGCAG